GGAAGUAAAAGUCGUAACAUGGUCUCCGUUGGUGAACCAGCGGAGGGAUCAUUACAGGACUCGCAAGACUCCUUCACCCUGUGAACCUCACUACAAGCACGUUGCUUCGGCGGGUGUCCCGGCGGGGGUUUUCCCUCGCCGGGGCGCACAGCCCGCCGGCAGCCUACUAUACUCUGUCUCUUUGCGUUGGCAUCUCGAGAAAAAACAAACAAGUUAAAACUUUCAACAACGGAUCUCUUGGUUCUG
rnacentral:misc_RNA from 1 species